rnacentral:sRNA from 2 species
CCAUGAUUGAUCCUACGUCUAUUUGCCCUACGAUAUGUCUUUUCCAGCCGUCUUCCAUUUAUCCCUUCCAGCGUUGUAAGUACUUAGGGACGAUACGGCCAGCCAUCAGUAACUAAUCAGGCGCUGCCCAUUUUAUUUAGCUGGAUCAGCCUAUAGCCAACAUUUUAUGACUCGUGGCAUGAUCCACUGGACUAUUUUGCCAGGGAGCCCUGGGGUAGUAGAUAAGAAACAUGUUCGCUGCUGAAUAUUUAACUCAGCUCUGUUUCCAUUUUUUCUCAAAAGUGAUUAACGGGAAGUCUUCCUAUGCAAAGCACAGGAGAAUGCCUAGUGGAAUUAGACCCGUGAUAUCUA